rnacentral:rRNA from 1 species
AUGAACGCUGGCGGCGUGCCUAAUACAUGCAAGUCGAGCGAACAGAUGAGGAGCUUGCUCCUCUGACGUUAGCGGCGGACGGGUGAGUAACACGUGGAUAACCUACCUAUAAGACUGGGAUAACUUCGGGAAACCGGAGCUAAUACCGGAUAAUAUAUUGAACCGCAUGGUUCAAUAGUGAAAGACGGUUUUGCUGUCACUUAUAGAUGGAUCCGCGCCGCAUUAGCUAGUUGGUAAGGUAACGGCUUACCAAGGCAACGAUGCGUAGCCGACCUGAGAGGGUGAUCGGCCACACUGGAACUGAGACACGGUCCAGACUCCUACGGGAGGCAGCAGUAGGGAAUCUUCCGCAAUGGGCGAAAGCCUGACGGAGCAACGCCGCGUGAGUGAUGAAGGUCUUCGGAUCGUAAAACUCUGUUAUUAGGGAAGAACAAAUAUGUAAGUAACUAUGCACGUCUUGACGGUACCUAAUCAGAAAGCCACGGCUAACUACGUG